GAAAUGCGAUAAGUAAUGUGAAUUGCAGAAUUCCGUGAAUCAUCGAAUCUUUGAACGCACUUUGCGCCCUCUGGCAUUCCGGGGGGCAUGCCUGUCCGAGCGUCAUUACGCACCCUCAAGCCCGGCUUGUGUGAUGGGCCCCGGCGUCUCGUUCGCGAGACGGGCCCGAAAGGCAGCGGCGGCGUCGACCCGAUGAGCCCGAGCGUAUGGGGACUUCUGUCACACGUUCGCGGUGCGGACCGGCGCCUGCUUUGACUUUUCUGAUUAUCCAGGUUGACCUCGGAUCAGGUAGGGAUACCCGCUGAACUUAAGC
rnacentral:misc_RNA from 1 species